rnacentral:rRNA from 1 species
AUACGGAGGGUGCGAGCGUUAAUCGGAAAUACUGGGCGUAAAGCGUACGUAGGCGGUUGGUUAAGUUAGAUGUGAAAGCCCCGGGCUUAACCUAGGAACUGCAUUUAAAACUGGCGAACUAGAGUUGAGUAGAGGGGAGUGGAAUUUCAGGUGUAGCGGUGAAAUGCGUAGAGAUCUGAAGGAACACCAGUGGCGAAGGCGACUCCCUGGACUCGAACUGACGCUGAGGUACGAAAGCGUGGGUAGCAAACGGGAUUAGAAACCCUUGUAGUCC